UCCCCAGUGGUCUAAUGGUAAAGACUCUGCACUCUCAAUGUAGGUGGGGGCCAGGUUCAAACCCUGGUCAGGGAA
rnacentral:tRNA from 1 species